rnacentral:lncRNA from 1 species
UGCUGCAUAGCUGGAGUUUGUUUUCCAAUUUUGUUAUUUUUUGUACAGCUUAUACCCACUUGUAUAGAGUUAGUUAGAGUAGAUUCCUUCCUCUCUAUAAAUAGCUAAGGCAUUGUACAGCAUAUUCACGAGAGAAAUGAAUGAAUACAAAUUGAUAUUCUUCUCCAUAUUGCUUUCUUCAAUUCUUAUUUUCUGAUAUGGUAUCAGAGCCAACAAUGGCUGAUUUAGAUGAAUCCAAUAUUGCUCAAAAUAUUACUAAUGCCACUCAAACCAGAAAUACAAAUUCUGAUCCCUCACAAUCAAAUAGUCCUUUUUACAUUGGUGCAAAUGAUAAUUCUGGAUCCUUGCUUGUUUCUCAUGAUCUGGACUCAAAUAACUAUUACUCUUGGGCAAGAUCCAUGAAGCGUGCACUCCGAAUCAAGAACAAACUUGGUUUUAUUGAUGGAAGCAUUGCUGAACCCACUGCUGCAGACAGUCCCCUCAUGGAACAUUGGCUUCGAUGUAAUGAUAUAGUCAUCACUUGGCUGCAAAACACCAUGGCACCUGAUAUCAAAUGCAGCACUCUAUAUGCUGAUACAGCCCAUCAACUAUGGAAGGAACUCAAGCAAAGGUUUGCGCAGCAGAAUGCACCAAGGGUUUUCGAGAUCAAACAAAACAUUGCCAAUCUGGUGCAAAAUCAGGAUAGUGUGAUUGUGUAUUUUUCAAAACUGAAAACAUUGCUAGAUGAAUUGAUGAAUUAUGAAUCUAUCCCUAGUUGUUCUUGUGGAGGAUUGAAAGAAGUAAUAAAUAACCAACAGAGAGAUUGGGUUAUGAAGUUCUUGAUGGGGCUUAAUGACUCUUACAAAAGCUUAAAGGCACAAAUCCUUUUGAUUAAACCCAUUCCUAAGUUUGAAUGAAGUGUAUUCACUUAUCCAACAAGAAGAAAAGAGGCGGCAGAUCUCUUUUGACAACACACCUGAUGAUACUAUGGCAAUGUUGGCAAAAGGAAAUUUUAAUGCAGGUAAGUCAUAUCAGGGAAAUCAGAAGAGGGAAAGGUAUUACUGCAGUUUUUGUAAGAUGCCUGGCCACUCCCUUGAAAGGUGUCUCAAAGCCAACCCUAACAAACCAUCAUGUUCUCAUUGUAAAAUGCCUGGACACUCAGCAGACAGGUGCUACAAACUACAUGGGUAUCCUCUAGGACGCAAGUUUGAAGGGAAAAGCAAACCUGCUGCAUCUAAUGUCAACCAAGUUUCCACUCUUAUGCCUUUUAAUCAGGAGCAAGUCAAUGAUAAUCCACAUCUUUCCUUGACACCAGAGCAAUAUUCUCAACUAAUGGCACUAUUUAAAACACAACAUCAUCCAGCCGCUACCAGUCAUGCCCAAACAAGUGUUACCUCUGAUGAUG